rnacentral:rRNA from 1 species
GAUGAACGCUGGCGGCAUGCCUAACACAUGCAAGUCGAACGAAGCACAUGAUGUAGCUUGCUAUGGAUUGUGACUUAGUGGCGAACGGGUGAGUAAUGCAUGAGCAACCUGCCUUUCAGUGGGGGACAACAGUUGGAAACGACUGCUAAUACCGCAUAAUGUAGCGAGACCGCAUGAUCUUGCUACCAAAGCUUUAUGUGCUGAAGAUGGCCUCGCGUCUGAUUAGAUAGAUGGUGGGGUAACGGCCUACCAUGCCGACGAUCGGUAGCCGGACUGAGAGGUUGAUCGGCCACAUUGGGACUGAGACACGGCCCAG